AGUGAACGCUGGCGGUAGGCCUAACACAUGCAAGUCGAACGGCAGCACAGUAAGAGCUUGCUCUUACGGGUGGCGAGUGGCGGACGGGUGAGGAAUACAUCGGAAUCUACUUUUUCGUGGGGGAUAACGUAGGGAAACUUACGCUAAUACCGCAUACGACCUACGGGUGAAAGCAGGGGAUCUUCGGACCUUGCGCGAUUGAAUGAGCCGAUGUCGGAUUAGCUAGUUGGCGGGGUAAAGGCCCACCAAGGCGACGAUCCGUAGCUGGUCUGAGAGGAUGAUCGGCCACACUGGAACUGAGACACGGUCCAGACUCCUACGGGAGGCAGCAGUGGGGAAUAGUGGACAAUGGGCGCAAGCCUGAUCCAGCCAUACCGCGUGGGUGAAGAAGGCCUUCGGGUUGUAAAGCCCUUUUGUUGGGAAAGAAAAGCAGCAGGUUAAUACCCCGCUGUUCUGACGGUACCCAAAGAAUAAGCACCGGCUAACUUCGUG
rnacentral:rRNA from 1 species